UUUGUACUCCCUCUGUCCCAAAAUUCUUGUCUUAGAUUUGUCUAGAUACGGAUGUAUCUAAUACUAAAAUGUGACUUGAUACAUCCGUAUUUAGACAAAUCUAAGACAAGAAUUUUGGGACGGAGGGAGUAUAUG
rnacentral:pre_miRNA from 1 species